ACACUUUGGCAGUAUAUGUACUAAAAUUGGAAUGACACAGAGACAAUUAGCAUGGCCCCUGAGCAAGGAUGACACACCAAUUCGUGAAGGGUUCCAUAUUUUG